UAUUCUGAUCUAGUACCCAAUAGCCAGGGAAUCAGUGGUAUAGUUAACAGACUUCAGGGAAUCAGUGGGAGUGAUUUCAGCCUGUGACUACUUAGUUUGAUCCGUUCACCUAUAUAAAGAGAAUAUAGAAUUUAGUAAGGGCCAAGGCCAAGGCCAAGCAACGGCGCGCCAAGACACUACUAACGUGUCGCGGCAGCGAGUUGAAAGCUGCGCGGCAGCAGCAGCAUAGAUAUGUUAUAACCAAUUAUGACCAAGUCAUGUGUUCGCGUUACGCGGCAGGCGUUCUCCCCACAAUUCUCUCUUUUCUUCUAUGCUUAACACAAGCACCUGAACCGACCUAUAAUAAGUGUUCACCCCGACCCGACCUAUCUUUCCAUUGGCACAACUAAUGCUAUCAGCCAAGUCGCGUAUACAAAUAGAGAGAGGAGCCUCAUCUACUUAUUGCUCCUAUCUUAUUACUUCUAUGCUAUCUCUUAUGAAACAGGACUAGACUACUACUCCACUGGCAAAACAGGACCCCUACGCAGCUAGGCACAAGUUGAUCUAAAGUAAACAAAUCAUUCAUCUACUUCUCCUCUGGCAACUGACACUCGGUCUUCAACUAGCACCGAACCUAUCUCUACCCUUAACAUUAUUGUUUCUAGUUCCAACCAAGGCUAUGGAGGUUUCAACUUCCACUCGGUAUUCCACACUUCGAUUUUCAGAACUGUCAACACCUUACUUUAGAACUGAGCUUGAUUGUUCCCCUGUUGUUACUGUUGCUGAUGGGGAUCUGUCUUCUGUAGUUUGAUUUGAUGGGAAAUCCUUCAUUGGAAACUCAGAAACUUGCCAACGAAGUCAUUUCUGCCUACCAUCUUUAUGGUUCCUUCCCUGAACUAAUUGAACUAGUUGACUUCCCACUACUCUGGUAUUGUAUAAGAAUAGUGGCCCAGCGACUACUAGAUGCGGCAGAUGGGUCAUAUAACUACUGAGUGCAAUUCACCAAGCAACUACAACAAGGCCCGAGCUACUGCUUUUCUUUCCAUGACUACUUAUACGGAUGCUUAGAUUUAGUCUCUCGCUCUUGUCUGUGAGUCUUCCUUGCCUUGCCUAGAUCCCAAGCUAACUCUUAUGGUCUUAUAGCUCUGCCGGGUAUCCUGACUUUAUUAUCUCAUUCCCUGCGGUGUUUCUCCAAUUCCCAUGCACGCUCUAGCUUAAGACCCGGCAGUGACCAUUCCUAUAGGAGUCAUUUCAUUCUUUUACUAAUGAGUCAACUUCUGCAUUCUCAGUGCAAUUCCUUAUUCUUAGUUAUUCCUCUGAUAAGUAAUAGUUGUUUUGUCUUGCUAGGUGCCUAGCCUAGGGUAUAUGAGUGAGUAGAACAGAAUCAGUAUUAGUCCUUAGUUCAAUUCGUAUAAGUAGUAAGUGGGAUUCUUUAACAAACAAGUAAGGAUCAAAGAUGGGAAUAGCAGACCCAAACCUAACUCUCUAAAGGCGGAUUGGGAGUCGAACUACAAAGUUCUUUUUAUCGGACUCAACUCACACUCAAGGCAAUAAGGUUUUAGGCUGCUUAGUUCAUUUAUUCAAUGAAUGUCCUUUAUUCGUACUAUACUAUUUGUCUUAGAGCUUGUAUCCAAGGACAGGGAUCCUUACUUAACUAGAGACUAAUGGCCCAAUGAGAGCCCAGGUCACAGAAUUUCGUUUCUGAACAGAGGAACCUAGUGUUCGAUCGGUUACUACUCUACUACUACUCUCUUCGGGCUUACUACUCAAUAGUUGUAGGCUUACUUCUAACAUGGACUAAUAACUUAUAACUCAUAACUAGUAACAGACUGAAACAACUAUACCCUAGCCUCGCCUAACAAGUAAGUAAGUCAACCUGCCUAGUACAAGUAAGUAAACAAAGAACUUACUAUAAGGGCCUCUCAACUGGACCACUACUUGUCAACUUCAGACUCCCUCGGGAGCUCAACUAAGUAAGUAUAUAGUAGAAAAGGCGCACACAGGACAGAUAUAGUAGUUCCGCUAUUGCUCUUGAAACUAAAGUACUGCUUCCAAACCUGCUCUUCAAACAACUUCUUUAGCGGCAGUCCGGGUUGGGAGUAGCAACACCUACUUCUAUUGAACUAAAUGAAACAAGUGAGUUACAGCCUGUGUUGUGUUCGUAUGCCUCUGCCUCUGCUGCCUAUGCCUUUAGUUAGUAAUUUGUAUGGGGUUCGUCUGCCUCGCCUCUCAAUCUUAUCUAUCUUAUCUUGUUAAAACAAGGGAAAGGGUAAACGAGGUCAUUCAUAUGAGUCCCCUUCAGUUCGAGGUCUGUUAUGAAAGUCUAGUUAUUGCCCCUUUAAGUAGUGCUUCUUCACAAACUACCCGAGCCGCCAAGACACGGAUAGACAAGUUACUACUCAUAGCUUCCCUUUCAGACUACACUAGGGAUAGGGAAGAAACAGAAUCAGGCCAGGGCAGCUAGGGCCAAGUCACUCAGAUAUUAAUUCUCCGAUGUCAACAAAUACUUCCUCUCCUCAGCUACAAGGCCUUAGCAACCUAUCACUUAUUACAAAUAUUCUGCAUUACAAGUUAUUGGAAGGUUAUGACCAAUCCUAGGAAAGAAAUAAGUCACAAUUAUUCAAAAUAAGGGAGCUGACUGAUGGAGAGUCAAAUUGAUAUGAAUGAGUUGCUUUGAUGUUGACUACCAGAAAUUAGUAAAAUAGUUGCCCGAGGUAUUAUAGAAGAUAGUAGCCAAGAUAGUUGCCAGAGGUAGAGGUGUUGCGGGAAGGGGAGGCGUGUAAUAGAAAAAGUCACUAACCCCACAACCCAGUAGGGCUCUUUCUCGAUAGUAGGAAAACCCCGUAGGGCUCUUUCUCGAUAGUAGGAAUUUGCCUCUACAGUAGGAAAGUAACUUCACAGUGUGUUUAAAGCAAUAAAGUUCUAAUUUCACUUUCCGGUAAGAAACAUAAGAUUUAGCUAGGUCUGAUAGCUCAGCAGAUAUAUAACUGAUAGCUCAGCAGAUAUAUAAGUAUUCCGUCGACUAUUAGACUCUAUUCUAGUUCUCUCUCUCGCAUUACUUGAAACAAAGAAUUCCACUCCAAGGGAGGAAACGGAGCCAAGCUACUCAGAGACAAGACUCGGCAAUAAAUGUAUUAUUAAUGAAGUUAUGAGCAAGUCCUUUAUUCUAUUCUGGGCGGUAGGAGCCGAGUUCUGGCGGUAGUGAGUUCCAAGCGUCAGCUACGAAAUAACUUGUUUCAUCCGGUAUUAUCCUUAAGAAAGUUCUAUUGAUUUUCUUAUACAGGGUGUGUACAGUGUCAGUAUAGGAUCAAUUCCAGUCGUUUUUCUUUUGACUAUGGUGAUUCCAACAGUUUUAAGCCCACUCUACAACUCUCUUCUUUUCUUUAGUUCACUACCGGUCAACUCUCUUCUUUCUUAAAGGAAGGAAUGCUAGGUGGUUCGGCAAGAAAAAGCCCAGUGUUAUCUAGCUCUAUCAUACAAUACAUCGCUCUUUACCGCUCGAACAAGAACAGGGCAUUCUCAUUCUUCAGCUCGAACUAUACUAGCAAAACCGGGAAUCAUACUAACUAAUAUCAGAAUAAACCCACAGCCAAUAAGAGGAACGCGGCCUUUGAAUCACUGAUCGCCGGGGUUGCAACAAGCAAAUAGUACCUCCCUAAUAAGAAGGAUCCUGCUCUACUGCCUAACAGCCUUACUAUCUUCACUUUUCGCCUUACUUGAAAGCCUCUGAGCUUCUAUGCCUCUACUCCUUUCCUUAGUUGCAUCCUAUCUAUCCUAUCUAUCAGUCCGCCCCUUGACUCUUUAACCACUGAUUCGGAUCUUUAUUUGAGUGUUUCGAACCACAACAUCCCGGUUUGUUAGCCUGCAACUCAGCUCUCCUAUUCUUAUACCUUGGAGUUAGCUACUGAUCUAAGUCUCGCUUUUGCUAGUUUGUUUGUUAAUCUGCUUGUCGAGUUUCAUUCCUACUAAACAGCCAUAGUACAAGUCAUUCUCCACAGACCCAUAUGAUAGACAAAGACAUCCUCCGUAUCACCGACCCUACAAUGGAAAAACCCUUAUCUCGGUUACCCAAUUGCAUCCGUUAUUGCAGGAUGGAUUCUUUCAUUCCUUAUUCCGUUUCAGUGUCUCUAGUAUGAGAGUAUGGGGCGCACCUACUCGUUCUUGGGCUGCGGAGCUCGAUUCCUACUUCUUAAAACUCAUUCUUUAACAGCAGAGCUUAACUCUUACUUUGCAUCUCUUAAAACGGAAGCUGCUCUCUGCCAUUCUUACUUGCUAGUUUGUGAUUCCCUUGUGUACAUGCCGCUGUUCCUCAUACACCUAUAGCACAUGCGCUACUGCAUUUAAGGUAAGUAGCCUUAUGAUUCUUUAUCGAAAGGGAGAGGCAUAUCAGGACCUUAGUUCACCAAUAAUAAGAGGAAUUAUGUUAACUUCUAAUAAUGAUGUUUACUUGACACCGGCACUAACAAUGAGGAAUGCGCUACUACCCUAUUAGAUCGAGAAACACUACUGGAAGGGAUCUAUUGACAAACAGACUCGAACUACCGCUUUUAAGGCAGCCCUUCCCCCUAUUAGUCUGUAGAGCUCCUGCCCUUGAUUGUUUCCCUCUGGACACUGAUCCUUGAACUAAACCAGUGCUAACAGGGUUCUCACUGCUGUCUCUUAGCCUUGUUUUGAAACUAACUUCCCCCACGCACUCUGACUCUUUGCUUUGAUUCCAAUGCUCUUUGCUUUAAUGCUCGAACUACGGACCCGUAUUCCCUAUCUAAUGAUCCAGAUCUUUUAUCUUAUUAAUAAGUAAUUGGACUAAUAGUAGCAAGACGAUAACUCAAAACUAUGGCAGUGACUGCAGCUUAUAGGGCUGUUACUGCAUGGAAGUUGGUGGUCGUUAGUGAGCGGUAGCUCUAUUCUAGGGGAGUAGUUAAGUGAAGCCUGUUUGCCAUUACAUUAGUUCCAUCCUAAUAGUUAGUAACUCGAUUCUUGUUAUCGAAGAAAGCGGAAUGAAAAUAAGUGUAUUGAGAGUCAAAGAUGGGAAGAGCGGGCUAGUAGGAGGUAGUCACUACGGAAUGAAGUGCAAGAGGUUAGCGAUCAAUCUAGUAGUUAUUAGUUCCGUUCGGUAGCUCGUAGUUUAGUCGAUAGCUCGUAAUUGAGUUCUCAUAUUAUUAGUUAGUUAGGGCCUUGUUAUAUGCAAGUGAAGCCUGUAUUCAUUGUGGAAGAGCUUAGUUUCCCCGGUACCCCGACUGGGAAUGGGAAGCUUUUGAUUCUCACUUUGGAGUCGAAGUCCUAUCAGUGCAAUAUCUGUUCCCUUCUUAGAUACCUAUAAAUACGACAUUCUCCCAUUACUGGCACAGUUUCUUACUUGGUGGUUGACACCUUAACAAAACUAGUGCUCCCGAGACUUAACCUAUUGGCGAACAAUGGUUCCUUUCCUGCCUCCCGAGCCUGUCUUCUAUUCUUUACACGCUAGGUAUCAAACGGACAUUGUGCCCAAGGGCUUUAGGAUCCUCUGCCACAUGUAUCAGCCUACCGUUAUUAACUAGCAAACUUAUAUUACUGCCUUAGAGUCUUAUUACUCGCAACACAGGCUUAGGCGAGUGAGGCAAUCCAUAUUCUUGUAUUAGCUCUUAGGUGACUGUAGGACAUUCCGACUUCUUAGCCCAAUUCUCAGAAAUGAGUUUAUUUACUCAGGGGGCAUUAUUGGAAUCUGAUUUCUAUUACUUUUACUCUGAUUAGCAGUGGUGAAAUCCUUAUAUGAGUAAGUUCAAUCUAUGUGGGCAGUUACUGAUUCUUUCUAUUGGUCUUAUCGCUCUUGUAGCAGAGACCAGCAUCUUGUAGCGUAUGGUAUCUUGUAUUAUUGACUUGUAGUAUUAUUCUCGUUAGUUGAUUUCCUAGCUAUGAGGAACAGUAUUAGAGGUUGUAUUAUUUGUAGAAUGAGAUAGAGCAAAGUAAGAUCUAGGUUCAGUAAAGUGAGACUAACGGCCUAGGUAUAGAUAGUCGGGAAAGGCGGGACGGGGCUAGCUAGCUAACUAGUGGAAUGAAGAAUCAAAGGCAGUAGAUCCAGUUUUCAAGCAAGCAAACCCAAGGUCACAUACCUGUCGAAUCAAACUCAAAUGCAUAAUAAGUGGAAUAGUUUUCAUCUCCAAUAGGGGGGCAGGCAUUAAUAUUCAAAACUCUACAGCUGGGACAUCAUACACAGCUAGAUCCUAUUUGAGUUUAGGAGAUCGAAAGGGCAAAGAGAGCCAACCGGUCAUGGUCAUCAUGGAGAAAAAACCACUACUUUUUCGUUCAAUUGGCCUAUAACAAUCUUCUUAUCACUAAGGGCUCGAACCAUAAGAGACCACUCUGGGUUCAGUUAAAGUCUCUCUUUGGUCACAGCCUACUCGUUUUCGCAAGAUCCACAGGAGAAAGGGGGGUUUAGUUGAUUGGAUCUCGAUGACCUCUCCGAAAAAGGGCAGCUUAAGGAAGAGGCAAAAAGGAGGGCUUCUUCACAAGGCACCGGGACCUAAACUUUUCAAUUGAUGUGGCUGAGAUUAGCCUGAAACAACCUCCAGGUCCGCAAUCCUUUUUAUCUUAGGUUAGACUAAGGGAUGCUGAGGCUCAGGUAUCACAGGCCGUCAUCCAGAAAGUCAUUACUACCCUAAACCCCUUUUACCGUUCAAAAGAAACAGAGUGAGCAGAGAAGUGAUUGCUAAUCCACACAGAAAGGCUUGUUAUUACGAAUCAUGUGCCAAAUGCAAUCAGGCAUUCCAUGAGAAAGAACCAAUUCUCUGAGAAAAAGAACCUUGCUUGCCUUACUAGCUCUCUUGUUAUGAGCAUGUACCACAGGUGGAUUCAGUCCCUUCCUUAUAGCCUUGCAGUCCAAUCUUAUCUACAAUCCUUUUUCUUUAUUCUGGGCAUCAAUCCCAUGUGAGCAAAAAGGGCCAAGUCAUCACCAAAAAGGUAACGGAAACCCGACAAAUGAUAGUCAUGAGGGCCAAGCAACGGGCCAAGCUACUCAUACCGACAAGACUGACCCCGCUAAGUAGGAGUACAACUGCGACUUAUAGUACUGUUGCUACUGAUCCAGAUCCUUUACAAGUUUGGGCACUUUACCUAGUCAUACUUCUUUGGGCACUUUACCUAGUCAUACUUCUUUCUUUGGGCACCUUACCUAGUCAUAUUGGAAUUAAUGUUCUUAUUAUAUGUGAACAGAAUAAGGAAUUGAAGAGACAAGCUACGUAUAGACUCAAAACUCCGUAAUAGAAUCAUGGAUUCCACAAAAGGAAUAGAAGAAUUGGGGAAAAAGCGAACUAAGUAAGAUAAUAUGGGUUCAACCAAAGUAUGUUUCGGGGAACCUCGCAUCAAAGAAAGAAUGGAAUUGACAUGGAAUAAACUAUCUUAUAAGAGAAUAGAAUCGAAUUGGCACUGAGAAAACUAGCUUCUGUUCUUUUAAUGUAUUGAGACUAUCCAUGUUAUAUUGAUACAAGCGAGACCUAUGCUAUUUAGACUAAUAGUACUAGAAACAUAUACUACCAACCGACUCUAUCGGAAUCAAACUCAGAAGUAGGGAUCCUCUUACGCACCUUGUACUUGCCCCUUAUAUGAGAAAACGGAGACCCGCGCUACCUCACCCAUGUGCCUGCGCUACUUACACCUACUAAGCAAGGUACUCAUUCUUCAAGUAACAUCAUAUAUUCUGUGAGCGAUCAUUCAACCACUCAUUCUUCGGUCGACACAACGUUCAUUGGGACAGACAACGUUUAUGUGGUCCAUCACCCAUUAAUAGAGGUUACCUAGGUAAUGAAUUGGUCGGUUGAACCACCUUAGUCGACACCACAUUGAUUCUUCGGUCGACACAACGUUCAUUGGUCGGACUCCCCGGUCAAAUCACUCAGCCUUGUCGUAGCACCAUGAAUUCAGUGAGCUACCUUGCACCCACUCGUUCAGUAAGCGACCAGCAACUCCGUCAACGUGGGUCAUCGCGCCUAAGUCGACAUAACCAACGUGCAUUGGGACAGCGCAUUGGGACAACAUUCAUUGGUUGGUAAACUGAACCACACCGACAUAGAGAACGACAUAGAUAAUUAUAAGCUCUAUUAGGUUUAUUCAAGCUAUAAUAUAGAGAGAACCAUGACUCACUGUCAAUUAGCAUAUAAUAUAGAGAGAACCAUGACUCACUGUCAAUUAGUAGACCAAUCGUGAAAGAAUUGAAUAGCAUUGAGCGUGACACCUAAUAUAGACAGACGUUGCUUGUUCAAUAGUAAUAAAGACGUUUUUCAAUAGCAUUGAGCGUGACACCUAAUAUAUAACUAAGUCAGAAAUCCAACUCUAUUACUGGAAGAUACUCUGAAUAAUAACUUGCGGAUAAUGUGACUUUAAGAUACUCUACUCUGAAUAAUAACUUGCACAUAUAAUGACUGCUUGAGUAGAUGCUAUAUAGAACCAAGGCAAGGCCGGAGGGUGUAUUGAAUCAAAUCUGUUUCGUUGCUUGGUGGACUUGGGACAUAAGAAAGGUGAACUCUGGAACGGAUUCAAUGAAACUAACUCAUAACUCCUAACUCAGGUGCCGGUAUUGGUAUUUCACUCCUAACUAGUCAUUUAUGAUUCUCUCUCUUUCGUUGGUAACACUUCUGAUCCUGCUUAUUGAAUUGAAACACCUGUACUUGUGACUUUCGUAUGCGAGGUGGAUUCUUUGAUUUCGCUGUUGGUUGCCCGUUAGCUUAUUGUUGUGUUCGGGGCUUCUUGAAAAGAUUGUUGCCAUCUAUCAUAAAAGAAAGUAAACUAACUGCAAUUCUUCAGAAGCAGACUAAGGCACAUGAGAGAAUUAAGUGCAAACGAUGAAGAACUAACUUACAGAGCGAAAUCCUCUUAUUCUAUUACUAAGAACCUUGAAACUGCUGGUGCUACUGCUUAUGCUGACUGGCUCGAUACAGCUGCUUCGGAUCUUUAAAUGGCUUCUUCUAUUAGGCCUAAACCUGGCAAUACUUAACGCUUCAGUCAACAACUAAUUCAUUUCACAUUUCACUUCACUGAGGUUCUAUCUAUAUGAGAUUCUAUAUGAUGAUGAAGCCCCUGAACUUGACUUUCCAGAGAUUAGAGAUUGGCUUGUUGGGUAUGAAAGGGGAGCCUAUUGUAACUCCGAACCUAUCCUCUAUCCUUGGUUACUUCUUUCUAUCAUAUAGAGCGAAUUAUACUGCCUAUACUAAUAAGGAUCUUUCCACUCCAGAACUACUUGCUGCUGAAGCUAUUUCUUCUGCUUCAUCUGUUGCUCGUUAGCGCUAAAGAAGGACAUAAUUCAGGUUCCGGGCAAGGGCAAUCAGGCGUAUUUCCAAGUCAAGGCAAGAGGGCAGGGCGGAUUUAGCAUCGUGUUUCACCCACCAAGCCACUACAAAGUCUCCUGUGUUCGUCAACUUGAAGUCAAACAUUGUCAAUCAGCAGGAAAAGAUGUCCUGUUUUCGGGAGCCGAGUUCUAGCGGUAGCAGCGGAAUAACGGGCUUUGAAGCAAAUGAGGUCAAGAGUACCAGAAGCCGAAUGUUAAUCUCUACCUACUGCUGAAGCUAAUGGUGGUUCUAGUUUCAUCAUAUAUAGAAGCCGAAUGCUAAUCUCAUGCUGAGGUAAAGUAUCAAGUCAAGGGGUAGGGCGGACUCUCUAUAUUACAGUUUAAGCGCGUCGUCAAUAAGUUUCGACUUUCUCUUUUUCGUAUUAAUAAGUAGUUACGAUAAAAAGAAGCUAUCAGGAUCAUUAGCCAUAGAGGAAAGAGUUUUCAGAGCAGGUCAAGAAAAAGGCUAAGAAGCGAGAUCUUGCAGCCGGGAAAGUGUUUUCAACAAGAUCUGAAGCUUUAGUAUAGUUGCCUGCGUACUAAGCAAUGCUAGUUUAGAAAGCCUGAGUUCUUAACGGGUAGAUCGAAAGCCUUAGUUCUGAAUAGCAGCUGGGCGCCAGAGAGAAUAAAUGAUGGAGUCUGAUCUUAAGUCUUUUGACUUACUUCCUGCUACACCAUAAUAGCUAAAUGAUUAAAGCAACAGCGAAAGCUGCAAGGCAAGAAAGAGGGGUAUAAAGCAAGUAAGGUAAGAGCAGAGGUCAGCUGUCAAUUCCGUUUAGUUAGCCGUUAAGCUCGUUGUUGUCAAUGUUGCAGUGCUCUGAAAUUCGAUUCUCAAGGUUCACUCUACUUUCAAUUGAAGACCCAUGAGAAAUAGAUGCAAAGCUGUAUCUUUACUGGGAUCCAUACCAUGUGCUGUAAAGUCAUAAUGGAAUUGAACUGACAAAGAAACGAAAACAUACCUGACUGACGACGAUACUGCUUGAGCAUCAACCAAAAGGCUUGGGGCAGUGAGACUUACAAUACAUACAGCACUAGCCCCCGAUACUCACUUAAUGAAAUGGAAAAUCAUCUAACAAUCGGGAGCGGUAAAGUAUCAGUGUAAGCAGCAAGUGUGGGUGUUGAACAAAACAAGUAAGCUAAGGCGAGACAUAAAUCUGGGUUGAUAUCUUUAACUGACAAGUACUUGAAAGAUGGGUUUAUAGCCUACUAUCUUUAUCUUAAUGACUUUGAAGCAAGGUUAAGUAGAGAGAGAGUCGCUUCUUGCCCUUAAACGAACUACUCUUAUUACCUUGAUUCCCUUUCACCUGGUGUGAAAGCGCUCGAAAGAUGAAGUUUCAAGUUAGCGGGAAAGAAAUCAGUAUUAAGAAAACUCUUUAUAAGCGGGAAACACAAGCUUACGCACGCACCCCGUUUCCGUUACUUGGUCUUGCUUAGUGAGUGGUGCAUUAGCUAAUUCCAGAAGAGAAGUAAACAAAGUGAGCCGGGCAAGUCAAAUAAGUUGAGUAGCCAGUUGCUCCAGAAAAGAAGUAGAAAGUCCUGUUGAAGGUUAUAGGACAAUAGAAGUAGGCCUGUAUCUCGUCAUCAAGUUUCAAGUAAAGUAUCUGAAGUUUCAAGUAAAGUAUCUGGGCUGGUUUUUUCACCCUUAUUGUUAGUUGUAUUGUAGACCGCCUCUUCUACAAGUCCUUGAAGCACUAACACCAAUAACACAAUUCUACUUUCCGCAGGCAGCAGGAGAUAAUGCAGAAACUUGAGUUGGCGCGGGAUCAGAUGCUCUUACAGCCUUUGAAGCAGAAGCCAGAUCUGUUCAAGUUUCAUCGUUUUCAGAAGAAGAGGUUUGGUUAAGCCGUGAAAUGAUUCAAUUCAGGGAAGCAGUGUUUGUAUUUACUCGGUUCUAGACCAGAUGUUCGAGAGUCAAAUGAAAAUGAAUGAGUUGCACUCAGUCGUUAGCGCAACUGAACAAGUAGACAACACUAACACUUUCAAUCAUAUUCCGGAGGUACCAGCGAGCUACUGCGGGACGGCAAACUCACUAUCCUAGCGUAGUAGGGCAUUUCAAAAGAGAAUCAUCUUAUAUAGUCGACUUAACUCGAACGGAAUCUGCUCUCAUAGACCACUUUCCGCACCCGAGCAAAAGACUUGAGGAACCGCCCAGGCUCACCCCUCUCCUGUGACAAAGUUCUAUACAAUGCCAGUGAACGCUAGAUUAGAUUCCAUUCAGUUUGUUCAGUUAAAUGAGUAAGAACUAGCAAGGGAACUAGCACCCUCACUUCACUUUUGAAUAGAAACAUCAUUACAUCGCACAGCUGCAGAUCCAACUUAUUAUCUUGAAACUCAUCUGAAAACGAAAACUACAUUUGCUUUUCCAACAAGUGAAGAAGCAUAAGAUCCUUCGCCAGCGGAUUAUGAUUCUCCAGUUGAUGCUUUUGCCUCUUCUUCUAUUGUAGAUGACACUCGAACAGAAUAGAAUUGACGGGCCUUCUCAAGCAUACAAAGAGAUUCUUGGAGACAACACUCACACUCAACUCUACUUCAAUACAAGCACCAAAAGAGUAUACUCAGAUUCCUUACUUAUAGGCGCGGAAGAAGAAUUCUAGAAGCCACCAAGUCUAAGUGCAUUAGCCAGCGGGGGUGCUAAAGGAGUUUACAAAGGUUCGGAAAGCAAAAGGCAAUAAUGAAGUACUUGGCACCUUAGUGGAAGAGUUCGAUUACGAAAUUCUCAUAUAUGCGGCACUCCUCAUUCAAUAAUAAACGAGCAAGGGUGCAACUCCUCAUUCAAUAAUAAACGAGCAAGGGUGCAACUCCUCAUUCAAUAAUAAACGAGCAAGGGUGCAACUCCUCAUUCAAUAAUAAACGAGCAAGGGUGCAAAGGGAAAGCCAGGGUAAACUUCCAUUGUUGGAAGAAAUUCCCAAUCUUGCCUACCGACAAUGCUCUGAGAAUACUUGUAGGGGAAAGCCCAUCAUACAUCUAUACUGAAGUAGACCAAGUAAAGUCAACCCAGAUUUAGAGUCGUAUAAUCCAUCCUAUUCGUUGCGAGUAAACGUUAUCCCACAUUCCCAUAGAAAUGAAUUCUUCUCUUUCUUCCCCGAAACCUUGAACCUCAUCUCCCUCUUGACCAUGAGUUCUUCAUAUUGAAGUUCCGUUGGUUCCUUAGCUUGCUCGUAUUUAGAGUCAAUUAGUUUGUUUUGCGAAAUGUUACUUUGAGGCAUAGUGUACCUUUGAGGAUCGAGUGCCUUUUCUGGUUGCUCCGAGUUCGAUUCGAAAGUCAACUGCAAGCGGGAAGGAGACUAAUAUGAUGCUGCUGACCUGACAAGCGCCUUAACGGCAACAAACACCCCUGAUGAAAUAAUAACCCGCUUAUACUCUAUACUAAACUCUAUCUGCGCCCUUGCCCAAUACUGAAUAUCAAAGUAAGCAAUAACUUAAUCUCCAAGUAAGCAAUAAAAUAAUAAGUAGAAGCUCUGUGGCCUUGGAUGCGGUGCCUCAAUUCCCAUCUUUAUGCUGUACUGCAGAACGUAUCAACAAUCGAACAAGAAAGAAAGGCAAGCAAGGGCGGGGCAAGUAAGGCAAAGAACUAGCUUUCGCGCACCUGUACUGGAUUCUGCCCCAUGAACUAACUUUAAGUCAGAACCGAACCGCUUAACCGCUUUUCUCUGAUUACCAAGAUAAGAUCUAUACUAAACUAUCUUAUCUAAUUAUUAUUCUUAUCCGGAUUAUGAAAAUUGAUGCUUUCGUCGAGCGUAGGAGUUAAUGGUUGAAAGUCAGACAAGUAACUGCUUAGCAACUCGAUUUUCGGAUACCGGCUUGUUGGUGAUAUCGGCUUGGCUUCCCCUUUCUUUUGCUUAAAAACGAAAUACUUCCCUUUGGCCUAUCUAAGACAAACCCUCUGGAGCUUCUUCUCGGAUUGUUAACCCGAUUGAUAGAUCUAGAAUUACUAUUUCUAUAUGAGACCACUAUCACCCCUAUCUUUCUUUCGACUCUUCAAAAGUGAGAGUUGCCGGCAAGAGGCAAAAGAUAUUAGACAUCAAAUGCAUUUUCACUGCGGGUAUGGUCUAAAUAGGGAAUUCCACUAAAUAUGAGUUUCCCAUGGCUUAAACGGCGAAAAGAGGCCUUACUCGGCACAGUCUACUCGGCUUUGUAAGCUUCUUCUCCUUGUAAUUGAUUUCUGCCUUUCAUUAGAAGCUAGAAGACUCUGAGUUUCGGGUAUAUUAGGCAAGAUAUAGUUCUCGGCAGCAGCACGCACUUAUGGAAAUGCAGCUCUAACCUACUGGACUUUCUUUCGCAGGUCUUCCUUCUUAACAGGUUGGCUAACUUCCAUCUCAUCUUUUUAUGGAUACCAUUGCUCACGAUCUUUCCAAUUCUUUCUAUUCUAUUAGGUGGAAGCCAGUCAUAGCGAGACUCAUCUGGCACUGCGAUUGAGAACUUCUGCUCGUGACAUCUAAGUUAACCACUGAUUUGAUCUUUCGACAUCUAAGUUAACCACUGAUUUGAUCUUUCGACAUCUAAGUUAACCACUGAUUUGAUCUUUCCGGGAUAAUAAAGUAAGGACUUGAAGAGGAAGACAAAGGCUAGACCUGGAAAUAAGGAUUCCUUUUAGAAAGGGGACUACUUUUCACUGGGGAAUCCUUCUCUAUAUCAUACUGAACCUAUACUUCACUUUUGGGCGUCAGGAGCUUACACUAGAAUUGCCCCCAUCCAACCCAUCAUCUAAUCUCUAAGAAAGCAUCGUUUCCAUUCGAAUCCAGACCCCCUUCCUCCAAGUGAGUUCGACAGGCAAUAAGCGUUAAGGCGCACCUCUUCUAUCGCAUACUUGUUAUCUUGCCCCAAUCCCUUUAGCCAUCAAGUAAGCCACAAACCCUUUCUUUCCUCUUUAACUACAUAACUCUUGAACUCCUCUCUUACCGCACGCAUAUAGUAAACGAACAAGUAAGAAAGUCAGAAGUAAGCCCAAAACUCAGAAUUAUACAAGAAAGUUGGCAAGUAGGAAAGUGAGAAUUCCACUGCUAAGUAAGCAAAAGGGAAGCCCUAAGUGAGAAGUAAGCCCAAAACGAAAAACCUCAUGGAAAGGAUAAGGGAGCAACUGGUGCGUUGGGAACAGUUCCAUACCUUGGAGAAGCAGUAGAGACCAUUUACUCUAGGGGUGCAACAGCAGAAAGACUGUGAGAACACCCCAUCAAUGGGAACAUAUAGGAAAGGAUACAGCAGUAAAACAUAUAGGAAAGGAUACAGCAGUAAAUCAUAUGAAAAGGCUGCUGGACGAAGAGGUAACAUAUGAUGCCGCCUCGCCCCUUAAAGCUUCUAUUAGUAGCUUCAGGGUGGCUAACAGUAUAAGUCUAUCAUAUACGAAGGAGGGUGGGAGAUUGCAGCCCGCGGAUUGGCUAACCAAACCCGUAAGCGUGGAUUCCUCUGAGGUAGCAGCUACAAAAGUCAGUGAAGAUGUUAUCUUUAAGAGAAAUUGAGGCACUGUGAGCUCCAUGGUGCUUUACUUCUCUGGGAGUGAAAAGUGUAUACGUACCGAGGAAGUUUGGGCCAACGAGGAGCCCUAACAGUAUUAGUUGGAAGAGCCAGAGUGGAAUUAAGAUCUAGUUGCCAGCUGCUUGGCUGUUGUCAGUGGCCAUAGUUAUAGUAGCCUGAGUUAGAUGAGAUGGAAAGGUAGAACACUGGUUAGGAGUUUCAUUCAAUGGUCAGAAUAAGGGAGCUGUCACUAAUACUCAGACAACGAAUAAUAAUAACUAAUACUAAGCAUUGGUCUAAUACUAAUACUAAUAAGAAAAAACGAAUACUAAGCAAAGGUCUAUUGCUGCGUCAUAUGAUCUGGUUGACUUUCCUUGCACAAACAAGGACAUAUCCUUCUGAGGUGAAAGGCUAUUGAUUGGGAUUAGGAAAGCCUUGUUCAAAAGUCUGAGGAAAGAAAGUCCCACUGCAUCCGGUACAAAUAGGUUGCUAUUUAGCCAAACACGAAAUUAGGAUCAUAAAUCAUCAUAUAUCUAAUAAGGACACCCGCAAUCCAUUAAACAUUGAUGUUUCUGCCCCCCAUUGAUUUCUCAAUUAGCAUUGAUAAGGGCCCCGUAAUUGAUUUCUCUUUGAUAAGGGUUUUUCGAUUUCACAAGUGAGAAGGAGUUUUCGAUUUCAAGUAUAGUUCAGUGUCCUUGUGUCUUUGGGUUAAGGGGUAGCCUUGCCUCGCCUGCAAAGGGUCGAGCCUUCACUGCUUGUAUUCUAUUCUUUUCCUCCCAGUGCUAUUACAUACGGAAUAAGAUGUGGGUCGGAAGCUUGAUUCGAGCUCUUCCCCAUUCCUUUCCCCCAAAAAGAGUUAACCAUGGCUCGGUGGUAAAGCAGAAGAAAUCGAUGGGUUGAUUGGUUGGAUGCAUUCUGCCUUUCUCGGUCACACCCAUGCAUAGAACUUCAAGCCUUAGCAGUUCCGGCGGAUCAUCAUUGUUCGCACUCCAGGGAUCCCUAUGAUAUUUAGACAUUAUUCUAUUCCAUAUGAAGAUUUCUCUAUUACCUAUUAUAUAUGUAGACAUUAUUCUAUAUUCUAUAUUUAGACAUUGUAGACAUUAUUCUAUAUUCUAUAUUUAGACAUUAUUCCAUUUAUACAGAAUCCCCAUACGAGCGUGGAAUCCCCAUACGAGCGUGGAACCGGAACUUCCCCAUCUCAUCUGCUGGCAUGAAAUAGAAAUCCGUGGCAAAGCCCGUAAAUCACAAGGAAAUCAAUCUUAGACGCUUGACGUCGGUAGAGAGAGAUGAUUGGCUUCUUACUUGUUUGACCUCUCUUGGGAAAUCAAUCUUCUUACUUGUUUGACCUCUCUUGCUUGGCUUCUGGUUGUUUGUCUCCGGGUCUGAACCCUUACCUUGUCUUGCCCACUCGCCCCCUUCCUUCCCGGCACCAAGCAUUCCUAGAUAUUGCUCCAGUGGUUGACUACUCGCAUUGGUGGUUUACUAUCCUGCUCGCCUAACGAAAUCAAAUCAUCAAUACUAGCUUGGCCCCAACUAUUUCCGUUUAUCCUACAGCAGCUGGCGAGCCACUCUUGAGACGGAGCUUACUCGGCUAGCAACGGGCACUGGCGACGGAGAACAUAACUUCUGACUUUGGUUGUGGACCGGAACGAAUUACUUGCUCUUUCUGCUUUCCUCACCGUUGAGAACCGCAUAACUCAUUCUCAGUCACAACUUCGAAUCCACUUCAAUCAACCCAUUUGAAUAAGAGCGGAUCAAACUAUGCACACCAAAUCCAAUCAAGGAGGGGCAGUGGGUGAUUCUUCCUACCAAGGUCAACCAACACUCAAUCUCAACUCGUAGACUAGUAAACGAAAGCGAAGGGUACGCAAGGCAUUCGAUCUUCAAGCGAAAGGGAAGGGAGGUUCCAUUUGAUUCCGUUGGUAAAGGGACAGGUCAACAAAGUCCGCAGCUCUCGAAGUGAGAAUACACCUCCGCCAUAGGAUGACCCGAAAACGGGACCAAAUAGCUAUAGUAUCGCUACGUGGGGGAUCAGUGCUUUUUUACACCAGCAGUGACUCUAUAUCCAAAAUCAAUCGAUUACCAUGCAUUGCAUUCUUUUUUACACCAGCAGUAACUCUAUAUCCAAAAUCAAUCGAUUAAUUCAUUCCUUCCCGGUCCCCGGUUGUUUUCUCUUUUGUUUCUAUGCAUAGGGGGUCUCCAGUCUAGGAAUCCGGUUUGUUGCAGUUGAGUGACUCGGGUGUUGAUCAGAAGAGUUGCUCAGAGAGGAUCAACGUAGUUAAGAUUGAUGAAUUCGUUUUGACCCGACCGACGAGGUUAACCGUGGGAUCCUUUGCUUUCUGCUGUUUCGUUUGGAACAUUGUGGAUUUGACCUGACCCCUUGAGUACUUUGUAUCAAGAUUCGCAGCUCUUGCUUUUCUCUCUAGUUCAACGUUCACUCCUCCAUGGAAACUUCGAUCUCGGUGGUUCAAUUGAGUUUCAAUCCAUUCGGUGAGUUAUACCCUGUAGUAGCUCCUUCGCCUCUAUCGAAGGUACCUGUAUUCAUAGUAGCAACAGUAGGAGUGAGUUCAAAAAGAGACUAUACUUGCCUAGUAACAGACUUAGGGGGCCAAGCAACAGUGCGUACUAGAGCAAGAAAUAGGGUAUUAGUUUUUUGACUUCCCUUGCCCGAUCAAAGUAAUGACCUGAAUGGACUGAUGGUUAUUGUCCCGCUAUAGCUGGUGGAGUAAGGUAUAUCGGACUACUCCUGAGUUUAUGGUGUAGCCAGUAAGAGAAGAAGCAUACGUUGUGUUGCACUUUCUGAAUCUUAAUAAGAUGCCCGGAGCAGGUAAAGAAGCAGUUUUCAGAGCAGGAUAAGGGGAGAGAGCAGGAUCAAGUUCAGGAUCAGACUCCGGGGAGUAAUAGCCGGUUUAGGAUCAUAAGCUAUAAGAUAUGGUUACGUGGGCUAUCCGAACUCUCUUAACAGAGACCUGAGCCCUGAUUGAUAGUACUUAUUGGUGAAGCCGUGAACCUAGAUUUAGAGUCAAACUACCCAUGUUCUUAGACUCUUACGGCAUUUAUGACAUUUAGGUACCAACUCGAGCUCCCGAAAACUGUCAUUUCACUUGCGUAGAGGUGGGAAUUGGUUCUUCUUAUCCUGUUUAUUAUCUAUAUUCUAUAUUAAGCUUCCUCUCCAGCUGCUGCUUUAACCUCUUCUUCUUUAAUUCGAAGUUUCUAUACUAAAUCAACGAGUCAACCAGGAAUCCUUCUUUAUUGCUCACUUGAAAGAUACUUUACAGCUAUGUGGGCAUGAGAUUAGAGAGUCGACUCCACUUUCAUUUACUUUACAAGCACAAUAACUCUCCUUGAUUACGAAUAUGUAAGGGCCCUACCUUUUCUCUUUCGGGUUAUCCGUAAUACUCCUUUUCAGUCCUCCUACUUGGCUUCUUAGGCUUCUGACUUUUACCUUUUCUUGUUCUGCUGUCUCUCUGGCUGAGUGAGCUUCUCUGCUCUGUGUUGUUCUCAGUGAACUAGGAAGAAAAUAGACAUCAUUGGAUCCCCGCUAUAGACCAAAUGGAACUUAGUUAAUCCCCCACUGGGUUGGAUUCUCUGCAUUGAUAGCUUUAGUCUACCCUCCCUUCCCCACUCGCCCGCCCUUCCGCGUACUACUAUUAGAAUACAACCACUGCUAGUAAGAAUGCAAUUAGCGCCUCUCAUACCAGAACUUGGAACCAGGACUUUGACUCAUAAUAUCAGAAUAGGACUAGCGCUUCUAGCUCUGUAGCUCCUGUCUUCCAUUUUCUAUACACUAGAUAUCAAACUUACAUUCCUUGACGAAAGUCUUUAGUUCGGCAGCUUCGUUCUGUUGAUCCUGUCUGCAAUUCUUUGGCCCUUAUAAUAAUUGCUAGCGCGCCUACUCACAAGACUGCUUUUCCUGUCUUUGGUUCUGAAACUACUAACUAUAGGUCCCACUGCUUCAUCUAAUCCUGAUACUUUGUGGAGGUGUUUCGGCUUCCCUUCCUGGCUUUUAGCCUACCGCUCCGGUAUCUCGUUUUUUAGUUCGCCGCUCCUUUGUAUGCCCCGUUGCUUGCUAGCCCGCCCCUCCUGCAAUUCCGUGUUUCUGUCCUUUCUCUGUCUCUUACAUAUGCUUAUUAGUUUGACCUACUCGUUAGUUACUUGGUGAGUGGAGCUAUUAUGAAUCAAGAAUUGGACCGGCGCUUCUCUUUCCUGUAACUACUAUACACACCUAUAAGCCUGUCUGCACUAACUCCUAUUCUGACUACCCUGCUGAUCAGUCACCGAGCAAGAUAACCUAUCUUCUUUUGUGACUCCGCUCCCAAUGCCUAUGCUCCGUUUGAAGUCUGUUUCCCUUUACUUUGACUUUCGCUCUUCCUCUAUCAACUGUUAGAAUCAAACGAAUACUUAAUAAGCAUAAAAUACAAGAAUGGAGCUACUGGACUUCAAUCUUUCUCUAUUGAUCCCGGGUGUUUAAUGUUAGCCUGCCAUGCCUUUUUCUUACCUGUAUUCUUGUGCUACUGAUUUAGAUCUUUGCUUUAAUGCUAUAGUAGUAACUUGCCUCUUGAACUCCGAUACAUCUACUAGUACAAAUACAUACCUCUUUCUCUUACCUCAUAAAGUGUAAAUUACCCGGCUGAGAAUCGAGACCUCUGUAAACUCAUUCCAUUCCAUUCUUCAUCGGAUUUCGGUAUACCUCUCCUACGGCUCAGCUAACUCAGGCUAAUAAGUAAGUUUCUGGACACCUCGUAUCAAAGCUACCGAAAAAGGACUUAGGCCAAGCAACAUAGUCAGCGGCAGGAGCGGUGAAACUCUGGAACUCUAGGCGGAUUCAGCAGUAGCCAUUCACUCGAUCGACAAAAGGAAAUGCCCGAUGGACUCCUUCUUCUCUUUUUUCUUAGUCAAGUCAACAGUCUCAUCUCCAACUGAAUGAUCGGGCGUACUACGACUAAGAGAAUACGGGAAUGGUCCAAGAUCCGGAUACACUAAACCCUCUCCGACUGCAGACGAAGAUCGAGUUCGAAUAGAAAGUAUCCAAGGCAGGAAGACAUCAACAGAGUAAGCAAUCGAAGACUUCGAAGCUCUAAGAUAGAAGCUGCUUUCCAAGAAUCACCAGUCCCACGCUAUACGACGACAACUGAACCAUAGAAGGAGGCGGACGUAAUGGACCAGACAGACCAGAUGAAAGGCAAGCGGAGUCAUUCGACCCUAAAGGGGGCCUCGAAUGCUUACAAGACUCGCCUGAAUUGGACUACCAUAAACUAGCCCGACAUACUACUUUACGCAAUUUGAUACAUCGAAAGCGCACCAACCACAUAAGGUUCCACACCAAGAUCAAAUGAGGGACCACUAGUGGCAUUUCUCAUAUACGUUGGUUGGACCACUGCCGGAGAGAAAGGCUGACCCUAUCCAAAACCCUUAGCACAAUAAUAGGUGGGGGGUAUGGCGAUCCAACUACUACCCGCGGAACAGAGAUCCUUUCCAGUCAAGCUAUCCUCACUCAACAAGGGGAAUGAUUAGAAUCCAGCGGGGGUUAGUAAAAGACUAGGCCAAUGGUGCUCCACCAGCAACCUCUUACCCUCGUUCAACGAAGAAAGUGCAAUCCGUCCUUUCUUAGGGUUAGCUCUUACACAUUCUCCUUAUCAACAUCCAGGAUAUGAUUUGGACAAAAGAAUCACCAGUCCCCCACCAUAAAAGAAAAACCAAAUAAUGGAAAGAAACCUAAAAGAAGAUGUCCUACAACCGCAUACACAUACCCUCGAUACAAAGCAAGAAAGAAAGCAAACUCAGUCCUCGCCUCAGGUGAGCCAACCUUUCAAGCAAGAAUCUACUUAAACCACAAAGAAGAUAAUCAUUAUAUGAGAAAGAGCUUCAAAGAUAAGUGUAAGAAAUCCGGAUUUCGCUUUUUGAAUACAACUACAUUUCCUACGAGACGGAUUUAGGACUGACGGAGAGUUUGUUACUAGUUGUCAAGCCCUACAUGAAUUAGCACAAGGAUUAGUGCUUUCUCCCGGUUGAGUAGAUUUAUUCGCUUGCCUCGAAGACUGGCAUUAGGCCCCUUACUUAUGAUAGGAUUGAUUCGAAGCAAAGCCUUCUCUGGGAGAUGCUAGAAGAAAAGACUAGAAGCGCCCGGGGGGGCAAUUACACAGGCUAGCAGACAACCUAUAGCUAUUCCCUUGCAACAACCAAAAAUAAGUAAGCCUUCCUUCCAACAAUAGUAGGGUUUGGAAUGCAUACGGAAUGGAAAGCUAGAACGAAAGGGCAAGCAUCAGACAUAGGGACUACGGGAUAUACGUAAUAGCGGGACUAAGAGAUUCUCAAAACUAGUAAAGAAAAGGCCCCUUCGUAGACUAAGAAAGUGGGCAAUGGGGAUAGACCUUAAGCCUUCGCUUUUUCGGAAUACGGGAGGUAGUAAUGGGCGGAAUAAGUGGGCUGGCUGGGUGGAGAUAUAGGGAAAUCUAAGUAAGCGAUCUCAGACAUCUACAGAGGAAAUCCAAAUUCUUCCUGGAGAAAGAUUACAACACAAAUGACUAAAAAAGGGGCAAAGCCAGAAAUCCAAUCUAUUCUUUGCAAGAAAUCCAAUCUAUUCUUGACUUUUCUUAAGUAGGAAAAAGAGAGAAAUCAAGCAAGGAAUCCAAUUCGAGCCUUUGUUACACGCCAGGAACGGAGCACUCGCUAAAGGAUAUUCCCUUCCUUGCAGCACUUCAAAAAGGAGUUUCACAGACUCAAACAAAAGGAACUCGCUUACAGGACCGGCAUAGGGCGUUAGUGCUACGGAUUACUUACUAGAUGGAAUAGGCUUGUCUGACCUCUCCUUCCUUUCAUCUUUGGCAUCUCUCUUCUCUUAUGAUACCUUACCACUUUAGGGACUACCGGAAUCGAAUAAGACUGGUAGGAAGACUUCAAGGGCUUGGAAUGAUUACUUUAACCUAAAGCCGUUACAACCUUCCAUUCACUCACGGAACAAUAAUAAAGCCGUUACAACCACACUUCCAUUCACUCACGGAACAAGAAAAACACUUGAAGCCGCGGUAAACAGAUUUAUGUCAUCUGCACCUUCCAUCAGGAGGAUCAAACUCAUCUUUUCUAUUCCUUCGCAGAAAACAGACCCCAGGAAUGCUUGCUGUUAGCUGGUAAGGGAAAAAGGUUUGGGGACGAAGGGAAUCCGACUAUGGCACUCAAACGACUAAGACGAAUUCCGUCGAUUUGGACACUAUUCCUACUGCUACUGCGAGAGCUACUGCAGUAAGGAAGGAAUGCAUUCGCUUUCCACCAACCUUGUUUGGGGGGUUUUGACCUUGAUUACACGACUUCUGCUUCUCUCCCUCUUUUUCCUGUCCUAGAAAUCCGGUAAAGAAGUAAAGUAAACAAGCAGUGAGACAUCUCCUUAUAUUAUUUAUUAAUCAUUAAGUAGCACUUUAUUGAAAGCCGAGCAGAGCAGAGACUCGCUUUUUUCUUUGUACCGAAAUGAAUCAUAGGGAUACAUUAUUCGCGGAUUAUUCUUCCUUAUGAUUCGAGGCGAGGCUCAUAUGUCGAAGAGGCAAGGAAGAGGAUCCAAUGACGUGAUUACAGGGGCUGAUUCCGCGUGAUACUUAUAGCCAUGUGUUAGAAAAGGUGUCUAAGAGACUUAGUUCUUUGAAGUCUAGCUCUUUCUCUUUGGCAGGUCGAAUUACCUUCAGCCCAGUCUGUUUUAACAGCAUUGCCUACUUCUCCUCUAUUGAUCUGCACGGCAGGGAGUUGGGGCAAGAACAAGUGAAAGGUGCUUCUGAAGCUAAUGUGGUAAAGUCGAAAGUCAGGGGUAUUCGUUCCAAGUCGCAGGUAUUAGAGAUAGAGAUUGGUAACAACCCUAGAGUGAAAGGCUUAACCGAGUAGUAGGAAUCUCUGUCCUGUGCCCUUAAUUAAUGCCAUAAAGAAGGGAACAACCAUCAAGAAGGAACCAUAUAAAGAUGUUAGGAAGAAAUGCAUUCGUUGGACAGUUUCCGAGUAUCAAUGGAAUUAUGGCUAUCAGAGGAGUUUCCCCUGCCUUAUCAGACUCUAAAUAAGGGUUGAUGCAACUCGACUUGAUUGAGGCUUUACCGACCCGCUACUUAUGAGUUCCCCCACUUGAAGUUAAUCUGGAAAUUGGAUCUAUGGGGAGCACCCGUAUAAGUCAUAUUCCCUGCCUCAGAGACUUCUCUUUAUCUUUAUCCAUCCUGUCUACUGCUUGAGUAGACUUAUCAUUUGCUAUUGGAUACGGAACUUGCACUGCAGAUUCUCUAACUACUGCAUUCUGUUGAAACUGCUUCCUCGCCGGAUAUUGCUUAUGAACCCGGUUUUGAUCCUGGUUUUGAUCCUGACUUGCAAACUAGACUUUCUUAUGCUCCGAUACCUCUGUAAACUGCCAAGCUAGUGACCGAUUCCAAUCUUUCGAUAAGUCAAAUGAGUAACAAGUUCUUCUAUACCAUAAGUAGAUGUAGGCUCGGGUGCUUGUGUUGGUGGUGCUGUUCUAAAGUCUGCUCGGGCUGAAACAAGGUAUGACCCAUUUUCUGCAUCUAGUAUAAGGCAAGUAAUUGAACUACAAACUCGGAACCAGGAUUAGAUGAAGCAGUGGGACCUAUAGUUAGACCAGACCCGAGCCCCAACAAGCCGGAACUAAACUCAUUCGUAUAUGAGAAUAGGCAGAUUCAAAGAUGGGUACUACUAUUUGUAGCCGUAUUCGGAUAAGUAUUGGCAUGAGUAUAAUAAGAACAAGUCUCCGUUAAACAAGUAUUUGUUUGAGUAGCUGUAUCGGUAGUGAGAUAUAAGUAGUCAACUCAUCAACUAGAUAUAAGUAGUCAACUCGGAUUGAAGGAAGUAGUGGUAUACUAAAACAAACAAGUCAGAAAAAAAGGCAGUAAUUAAAAGACUACAAGAGGGGUAGGCUCGGUUGGUGGUUUAAGUCACCAAGCAACUACUAAUGACCAAGCCACGGAUAGACAAGUAGGCAAGCAGACAAGAAACUACUAAACAAGCAAGGGCGACAGGGCAAGGGGAUCAAUUCUGGAACUACCUCCUCUCAUUCUCAUUGUUACUGCUUUCAUUCCCACUACCACUAGGUUAAGUCUGUAACACCUAAGCUUCAGCCCGAGCAUACCCAGCAUCUGGUUUGCUAGCCGUGGUUUGAUUCCGAUACUGCUUAGGUCAAUUCUGAGUUAUACUGGGUUGAUUCUGUGGUUAGAUACCUUAGCUACCAAUAGUGACAUCCUAGCACUUGUUUCGGUGGGAAUGUAGCUGCUUUAAGACUUCUACUGACUAGCUGCCCCCUGGCUCUUAUUCUUGGACUCCCGGGUUUUUUGAUAGCAAAUAGAGAAAGUGGUUAACUCGACCUCCGCUCUGUAAACUCAUUCUGUAAUUACUACUUAUGAGCUUGCUGGCUUUUCUCUGAUCCUAAACCCCUGGCUCUGGCUCUGCUUCCUCGCCUCAAUCCACUCCCUUCCCUUACGCUGGACUACUACUAGUUGGGGCUCGGAAUAGCUUACCACAAACACAUAGCCAGUAUCAGGCGCAUCUACCGGAGUCAACUAAUACAGAUGCAACUGCGACAACAAAUACAGAUGCAACAGGCAAGGAAGCACUAACGGGAGCAAGAGGAGAAUAAAGAAGCAAGAUCUAUCUGGAAAGGAGACAGCACCAACCAACCCUCUAUCCUCUACCGUCAAGCUACUACUAAUCAAGCUACGACUAAGUCCUUUGUUGGAGGCUUUGAUACCGAAGCUUGAGAAGGAAUAAGGAACUAAAGGAAGGCCAAGUGGGAAGGGCCAAGCUACUCACUACCCUUGAAAGGCUGGAAACCAAACAACUCACUACUUGUUCUAAAGUGUAGUAGGCCUAUUCGACGGCUAUGAAGGUAGAAAACCACAGAAUCCAAUUCGUCACUGACAGAAACACACGCACCCGAAACUUCCUAUAGGGGCCUAUCCGUAGUCAACUCAUUCCAUUCCAUUCUUCUUUAUUACGCCAACCCAUAUGCCCUGUUUAUAGGCUUUCAAUGCAUUAGAAGCUCUCUUAGGCGUAUGACAUGAGAAUUAGUACAUCAAACAUCAGAAGUGCUUAAAUAGUUCAUUUCUUCUUAAUCAAAUAGACCCUUUGCCUUUACUUACCUUCAAGCUGUCUUCCACCCUUUAUUUAAUAACGGAUUUCUUUGACUACUGAGUUCAAUUACCUCAUUGGUAGCCGUUGCUACUGAUUCCACUUUACCACUCCACUCCUUACCUUACCCUUACUUUCGAACAGGAACAGGUGAUUCUCUUUCUUAUCUAUCCCUAAAUUAGUAACAAUUAUAUACUUCCAUUUGUAACAUUGUUACUUAGUUUUAGUCAUAUCAGUCCCAAGUUCUUCUAUACCUCUGGCACCCGAGUGAGUAGUUUCAUGAAAUACCUUAUCCGGCUUGUCUUAUGGCUCUGUACUCUUUACUACUCGUUUACUUGUUUGGGAUGAAACAGGACUCCUACUUGUCCACUUCAGACUCACAGUUUUCGGCCCUCUCUUAUCUUUCCUUCCAACCUAGCCGAGUUCUCUUUCCCCGCGAAACCAGUCCUACCUUACCCAGCCUAAUGGAAAUACUAAGUCAUUAGUUACGACUACUUGACAUGCUGAGAAUUAAUACCUUAGUUUAGGUAGGCACGGGAACCCUCUUUUCCUUGGUCAACUAAUACAGUUAGGGUCUCCAUUCUUCUCAUUAGAGGUAUCCGGUUCGAAGCAAGUAAAGAGCAACACAGUAGAUCGGCAGUUCCAGCAUGUAAGGAUUGGUCACAGAAUUCAAAUAAGUAGUUAGAGCUUUAGAGCUAGCAAGUCUGGAUCCGAAUCAUUGGUUAAAGAAAGAGAAAAGUACCCGUUUUUGUUUGAGAAUGAAAGCUAGGAGAUAUAGUCAGGUACCAGCAAUGAAAGGAUCGGUGUGUUAAGGGGACUGACUUGAGAACAGCUGAUGAAUUCUCUGAUCUACUUCCUUCACACUCUCCUUGAUUCACUCUUUUAGCCGAGAAAACAGAGGCGCUAUAUGCGCUUCAACAGAAGUGGGUAACCAAUUGUCCCAUGAAGACAGGACUCAGCCCUUACCUCUAUAGCAAGCACCCUUGCCCCGCAAAUAAUGAAUAUCUUAUUUACUUGAAGUGAAGCUAGCUAACCUGACUAGUCCUUGCUUUAAGAAGAGAAAGAAGGCUUAUCGGAGUACGAGCGAAAGAAUGGCAAGAAGGCAACUCGUGUUCAGCUUUCGUGAGUGGUGUGAGUUCCACUUGUUGAAUUGAGUUAGGAAACCUCCUUAUUAAAGGUUAAAGGACAGAGAUAGGGUUAAAGGACAGAGAGAGGCAGAGUUUAGUAUAAAUGAGUACAAAGCAAGCAAUAAAUCCAAUAAGUUGUUGAGUUCGUGCUAACUAACGUGUUAUGAUUUGGAGUUUUGGGUAGCCAUUAGAUUCGUGAGUUCCUGAAGCCGUUGUUUAGUGAGUUAAGGAGUAGAGUUCCGUUCGCCCUUGUACGUUCGAGUGUGCGGGGUGCCCUUAUUUAGCUUAGGUGCAAGGUUACUACUAUCUAUGGAUAGCUAGAUGAUAUUGCUGGUUGACUUCUGGUUUACUUGACUUUCACUGGCCCACAACUCUAUUGGCCCAACUCUCUUCUAUUGGCCCAACUAUCUUUACUGCUAGGUUAAUGCGAUAGCGGUAUCGUCUAAAGUUGAGUAGAAAGUAACGUUAAAGUAUAGUAUAGAUUACGGUGCCUCCGCCUCAUAGUAAGCAGUCAGCAGUGAGUUUAGGGGUGCGCCUAUGAUAUGAGCUUUGGCUUUGGAGGAAAUGAAGCAACUACGGAAUCUUAUCCACUAAAAAAGUAAACAGAACAAGCAAGGGAACUAGCAAACAAGCGAACAAGCCUAGAAGUCAGCUGUGUUAGGUUCAUCCUAGAGAAGAUAGUAAGUAGUAAGUUUCAGUUAGGUUCCGCCCCUACCCUAUAUAAGUUGUUGUGCGUGAGUUAGCUUUAAGAAGAGAGAAGGGAAUUGAGCUAUCCCAGACUCCACUCGGUAUUCCACUAUCCCAGCAGAGCCAGCAGCUUGUUGAAAGAAGUAUUUGUUUCGGUCGGCAAGGAAGCAGUUAGAAUCUGUUCUCUUGCUUAUAAAAGAGAGAAUGAAAGUGAGCCAUAGAAUCCUGUAUGUCUGCUUGGCCCCUACUUAAUCCUAUCUAUUCUUAUUAAGGAUUGAGCUGUUCUUAUUAAGGAUGGAUUGAGCUGCUCUUAUUAAGGAUUUAGUUGAGAAAGAGAAAAGCUAAUCGGUGAGGGCAAGCGAGUAGUUUCUUUCUUUACCAGUAGUUUCGAGUUGCUAGUCCCGUAGUUGGCGAUAGGAGAGUUCUUGUGCUCGUUGCUUGGCCCUUUUCUUCGAAUAAGAUAGCUCCACAGUAAAGAUCACUUGCCUCAAUCAGCAAUCAAUCUGCUUUUUCCUUUGUAUGCCUUCCUUCGGCAAAAGGAAUUAACGAUUCUCCCCCUCUGGAAGGGUAAGGUUCCAAUUGAUAGCUAUUCUGGCAUUCCUAACACUAACAGAAGCAUUUACUAGCCUGAGAGGUCUGGAUGACAGGAAAGAAAUAAAAAGACGUUACCAAAAUAGGGUUCAUUAGCCUCCAGCCGAGGGAGAAUUCUGGCUUGUUCCUCCAAGUCGUAUAUAUAUAUCUAUAUAAUAUAGAGUUCGUCCAUUCGGGAAGGGGAUGGCUGCCCACAUACAUGAAUAGAAUCAGAGAUCUUAUAGACUCCGGAUUGAUACUAUAGGACAUGGGAACCCAGAGAAAGAAGGAUUUUGACUCUAGAGGACAUAGGAAACCAGAGGUUAGAGAACGAGCAAAGGCAAAAUAUAGUAAGCAACCACAUUCUUGUUUAGGGAUGUCUUGCCUCUCUUCAAUGGUUGCGGGAAAGAGAGAAGGGUUCAGGGAAUCUGAAGGUAUAGCUUAGAACACCGACUGCGCUAAAGGAAGAAUACCGGAGUGGCCCGUCCAAGAACCGAUGAUUUGCGCUUUACCUAUAUGGAAUUGAGUAUAGUGGUAGUCGAAAGGAGACGCACUACUUACUGCCGAACACUGGUUCCUGUAAGUCUGGGUCUAGGGCAUCUGGUCCCACUAUAGUUUGCUUCAGGCGGUAGCGCAUCUCCGUCUUAAGGGAGGCGGCAACAAUAUAACCUUUCUUUUUGGCUGUGGACUUUGAUAGCAUAAGACCACGUGGAAGGGUAAUGCCAUAAAGUUCCCCUGGAGACCACGGAAAAGGAAGCGCCUAGUGGCUAAGUAGUUCAGGUCUGGGCCAAGUAUGGAUAUAGCAGGCAUCGAAAAGGCAUUGGCUCACACAGUCCAAAACAAGCUCCUGUACCGGCACUACCAUUAGAGUUCGAAGGUUUAUACCUAUACUGGGGCAAUCUCAUGAAUUGGGUGGGAAUUCCUCUUAUUCAAUCCAUUGUGCCUAGGCGUGUGUGGAGAAGUAAAUGUAUGCCCGCGCAUUCAUAUGUUCGGGUGUGCAUGCCCGCAAGGUUCGGCUGUUUUGAGACGUACGCUCGGCCUAUUUCUUGGUGGAUCAACCAGUGGCUGCUAGAAUAGGUCUUAGUGCUCCAUCAAAGCAGGAAUGAUCUGUCAGUUGGGUAUAACAUGGAAAGCAUUAAUAAGGCAAUCAACAUUGUGAGUGGAUUAGUCAGUUCCUCUGUAUGAAGCCAUGAGAGCAUGCCAAGGAUAGAUUAACGAUGAAACCACAAAAAGGCAAUACUUCCUCUGCUAUGGGGCGAAAGAGAAGAUAAGAAUCGACUUGCACAAAAAAACCUCUGCUGACCCUUACGAAACUAUUCUUUACAAGCUCUUCACCUUCCAUUAAGAGAGUUCUAGUAUACCACCAAGCAUAGAGGUCUAUUAUCACGUUCUUAUUGAUGGCUCUUUAUUGAAUCGUAAGCUCCCUUUGCUUUCACAUGACAUUUGAUGGUUAUUAUCUAUGCACCUUCUACUUUAGCCAGAUGACUUUUCACUUUCAUUCACUUUCUGCAGCUAGUCAAGCAAGCACUAUUGCAAACUCCAACUAUCAAAACCGUUUAUGUCAAGGUUAAUGAAUGAUUCCAGGAUGGGGGAAUAACCAUAUUCUUUGUUGGCUCGCGAUCAAUGGCUCUAUGGACGUAUUCGUAUUCUAUUGUUCGAAUUUCAUGCACGCAUGCGACCUAGAAACCCACCCCCCUCUUUCCUAGACCCAUGUCCUAUUCUCCACAAGCUGGACUCCCAGCCGAGCAAGAUCCACAAUGUUCGAAAGUUGCUUUGAAGGAAGGCUAUACCACCAAGCCAAGCUCUCCCUGAGGAAAAAUAGACUCCUCUUGAGACGCUAUAGCUAUUGCUGCAGAGCCUAGUUGAACCGAUGAAACCGAAAUCCGUUAUCGUAGUUGGACCAGCGUCACUGGUAUAGUAGGCUACCUACAUAUGCCCAGAAACAGGGAGUCGGGUGCUAUUCCAUAGUUAGCCAGAUCUAGUGUAUUACAUGAUGUGCUACGCCUUACCUAUUCUUUUAUUAGUAGGUGAACUAGAAUCGUACCGGGGUCGCACAGAACGAGAAACAGUCAAGUUAGCCUAAAAGCAAGGUGCUGAAAGCCUAAGACCUAUUUUAGCAAGUAAGGAUCAUAGGUAAACUACAGACCGAAAGGACCAACUCUUAGGCUAACAGCAAAGAGAGGUAGGCGCAAACAGGAGAUAUAGCCUGAAAGCGGGAAGCGCUAGCGCUAGUGGGUUAAGGCCCAAAGAGAGGUAGGUUGAGAAGCAGGCUCGGUUCUGUAAAUGAAGCCUGAUUUCUGUGUUUUAGUAUUAGAAGCUGUAGACUAUAAGUCCAAGAACUCAACAUAGGCAACAGUUUUAGAGCGAGUAAAGCUAAGAUCAGGAUCUGUAAGCUAUAGCCUGAAAGCGGUAGUGCCAGUCUCAUAUGUAGAGCAGGGUUCGAGGUAAUACAGUAGAGCAAGAUCAGUAUCAGUCGGGUAAGAGUGAGUUGAGAGUUCUCGUAUGAAGGGUCGUGUUUCAAUCCGGUAGUAAGUAGCACCAUUCUUUCCAGUUUACAGAGCCGUGUUUCAAUCCGGUAGUAAGUAGCACCAUUCUUUCCGUUAGUAGUAACAUUCCUUUUAUGGGGAGUUCGCGGUUCUUUAACUAACAAGUAAGUAUGCUAGGGCAAAUCCAUAUGUUAUAGAUCGGGGGGCAGUAAGCCUAGAGACAGUAAAGCAAGGAUCCUUAGACAGUAUAGAGUAGAGCAAGGUUCGAGGACAGUGUUUGAUUCGCCAGGUAGUAGUUCAUCCUUAAAAGCACUAGUGGAGUUUGAGUUUCUAGUUAAGUUAUUUAGUAACUGUUCGAUGUUUGCUCCUAUCGGCUCAAUUAUAAUAGUACACUAGGACUAGGGUUUUGGAAGAAUUAGUAGAAUUUCUAACUUAAGAGGCUAUGUUUGAGUACACAAUCCAGUAAGCAAGCCUUGUUGACAUCAGUAUUGGUAUGAAAGCAAAGGAGCGGCAGCCCGGGCAAUAAAGAGAGAACUAAAGAGUAAAGUAUCGUUAGGCACUGUUGAGAGCCCAGUUACGAGUUAAAGUAUUUCCAGUAUUAGCUCAAUUCUGAUUAAUAGUGAUUUGAUUCUGAGAAAGGAGGUUAUAGCUUUAUUAUGAAAUACAGGCACCUGAGUUAGGAGUUGCGAGUUAUGUUCCAUACGGGUACCGACAAGUUACUAUUAGACAAGCAGGAAAGCAGACAAGUAGGCAAGUAACUCAGGUAUUUAUUCUAAGAUCCUAUCAUGUAGGCUGGCUGGGUGUUAGAGAUGAUAAAGUCAGUUUCCCCACUAUUCCAAAGCAAAGUCAGUAAAGUAGAUUUAUGUUCUUGUGUCGAUUAGGGGUGAGUUUUGCCUCGUUAAGGGGUCGGGUCGGGUCAUUCCAAUUGACUAGCUAAUAGUUACACAUCAUACAUGUCUUGGCGCGCCGUUGCUUGUCUAUCCGUUGCUUGGCCCCCGCUUCAAAGCAAGAUUCCUCACUUAUAUACUUUGUGGCUCUCAAGAUAUACUUUGGCUCUCCAGAUUCAAUCAAUUCUUUCACUUCUGCUUACGAAGUUCGAAAUCACUGUUUUCGUAUCAGCGCCCUUUUACCAGUCUAAAUCUUCUCUUAAGUAAAUCUCUAAUUGAAUGAAGUAUGGAUGCGGGUGCCUAAGGAAGCCCAUUAAAUACGUUGUUAGAGGCGUUGGCAGGAGCUGUGAAAAAGCAAGUAGUUCAUCUCAUUAUGACUAAACUGCAGGCUUUGUGUUUAUGAAUUGGUUUACUUGAAGCAAGAGUUCUCCGCCUUACUUAUGAAAUUAAGACUCAUGAAGGCAAAGAAAUGCAGUAGACCCGCCUCACUGAUAACUCAAUGGUAUUUUGUGAUUAGACUAACCUAAAGAUACAGAGAAAGAGCUAGAAAGGGGAAUGUUCUUCUUCAAGUAUUGUUUCGGGUGUUGGCAGUUAUAAAGAGAAAUACGGAAUUGAGUAUGGCCAAAAGGAACCGAUUGCCCUCGACUCCCUUGCUUAAGUCUUAAGUACCAAUAUAAGAAGCAGGGACGGUGGAGCAAGGGUCGAUGUAAUUGAGCUACUAGAUGAUUUCCCCAACUCGUAUACUGGGUGCUUUAAGGCUGUUACUCACUAGUUUCUUUCUGUAACUCCCGACUUUGAGUGCAAUAACUUACCAUAAGGACUAGCUUACUCUCCUCAAGCGUAUACUACUUCCAACUGAUAUCCGGUCUGAAACUCGUCACCAAAACCCGGUCAAAAAGGUAGCAAAGGUGAGCUCCUGCCGCGGAACGUUAGUAGUUCCUUGGCCCUAAUGGAGCUCCCCAAUCUCAUUCAAAAGUCAUGGAAACCCGUGAAACAGCGCUGGCGCUUUCCCGCUCGCUACCGUUUCACUCAACUCCUACCGAGUUGCAUUCUCACUCCUCGUCCCCAAUGUUUCAAUCUGUGACUCCCGAGUUUGAUCAGUCAUCCUAUAAUAUGAUAUAUAAGGAUUUAGGAGUGGGCCAAGCCUACAAAGGUUCUCUAAUUACUACUUGCUUAACACAAGCACGGAAUCCUAUGCUCUGUAAACCAAGACUCUCCUCUUACUACUACUACUGAUGCAACAGGACCAUUGCAACAGGACCAUCCCACUACGCCUAGAAGUACCUACAACUACAGGUAUUCAACCAUAACUUUACCACGACCACUAGACUACCGGGAUGAAGACUAACACUCGAGCAGGAUCGGUAUUAAACUAGCCAAGCGUUUACUACAGUGGAAAGAGAAGACGAACACAACAUAGGACUUGCUCAGAACUCUGGGUACCACGGCACAGGACUCGGAGUUGCGGAUCUACCUGUGGCUUCUUCGGAUGCUUACUUUAUUGUUGAAUACCGAGUGGAAUCUUACAGCUGUGAUUAAUUGUUACUAAUGUGACUCAUUUCGAAGGAAGAAAUAAAGGUAGUAAGAAGGAGUCGAAGGAAGAAAUACAAGUAGUAAGAAGGAGAGGCUAGAGUUACUAUAGGUAGAUGAGCCAUUACUUUCUUAGUUUACAGAGGUAUAGCUCUUUCCAGAAGUAUUAGUUGACCAAGUCCUGUGUUCGUGAGCUGACCAAUUGCGGAAUGAAACUCGGGAGUCCAAGUCGGAUACUGGUGCUGCUCGGACUGCUGCUAGAUAUACUGAUUCCCUUACUUGCCCCUACCUUCCAUGCUUCUUAUAUAGCUACUUAAGACUGAAAGAGUGGGUAACAAGACUGUGAAGCUAGGUAGUUGUAGUAUGGUACUGAUGGUACUGAUGCUAGGGAUUGGUAUUACUAGUAUGGGGCUGCAGCUAGGUAGCUAAGGUAUCAGAGCUAUUAGUUAAGUACUGAAGUAAAGAAUUGCACUCUAACCUAUGAGGAAUUUCAGAAUGAACCGAGGUAGUCCAAGAAUGGAAAACUAGGUAGUCUGGGAAUUGAACCACUGCAGCUAAGGUCUCUAACCACUGAGGGCUCGCUACCGCGUCACAUUAGCAGUGCCUUGGUGGCUUCAACCGGACACCAACAAGACUGAUGCUUGGCCCUUUCUUUCACUAAGGUACUUGUUCUUGUUGGGUUCCCUAACACCGAAUCAAACAGGACAUGCAACUGUAUACUUUCCUUGAACUUAACCUUAUUCUACUCCUUCGGCACAAGAAAGAUGAAAUGUUGUAUUCCCUACUGCGCGAGUAAUACGAAAUAUAUGAGUUCAAAGUAAUACGAGAUAUAUGAGUUCCAAAUAGAAGGAAAGGAAAGGUAAAGCCUAGCCUUAUAUAAAUGCACACCUACUUAAACUUAUACUUUUACACGGGAUUCAACUAGAGCAGCUGAUUCUCCUACAGAGCACCCCGUAACUCUAACCUCUUUCGAAGACUUUAAUUGACUUGCUUCGAGGAUAAAAGUAAAACCAUUCAUUUGACUUUCACUUGCUUGUAGUGCCGAGUCCACCGAGUCCACCUGGAAUCCAUCUUGUCUUGCUUAGCACCCGAUCUAAACCUAAACUAUCACUGCUGCGGAUCCUGCAUCUCUAACUACACUUCAAUUUCCAAACUAUCCUAAAACUACACUUUCAACUGCUCCAUCUUCUAACCCUAAUACUUCCUAGGAUCCUGUUAUGAAGAAAUAGGCUUUCAGCACCUUUCUGAAUCGACAACUCAUGAGACUAUAGCAACUCUCCCCACUAAGGCUGGGCAACCACAUCUAUUACAUUACACCCCUAACCAACUAACUACUACCCGAGCCCAGUAAAAGCAAGAAAGUCAGGAGCACUACCCUUACCCAAGUCCUGGAAUAGCUUCCCGAGCCUACCCAGCUGGCUACAUCUCCUUUUAUUGCUCAUCUACUUAUUGCUCCUAUUAACUGCAUUCUUCUCCUAUGCCUAUUGCUCCCCGGGCUCCUGCCGCUAGUGCUACUUAAUAUAAGGGCUGACCGAGUAGAAUCUCCUCUCCCAUAGAAUACCUCUGGCGCAUCCAUCUACAUCUCCUCUGUCUGAUCCUAACAGUUCUCCUUCCCGUUCUUGCAACUACUAGUAACAUAACAAAGGUAAAGCCUAUUACUAUUACAGAAGCACUAACAGCAGAAGCACUAACAGAGUCAAAAGAGACAGUUCCGGGGCAGAGACAGAAUAUCUUCUUUCCUUCUUAUGCCCUUGUUUUGGUGAACUUUACUAGACUAGCCCAUUACUCGGAGUAGGUUCUCUUUCUGCUUUACCGAUUCUCUCUCGUCACCAACAAAGACAUCUUUCUUUCCGAACAGGCAAUUCGCACCUAGACUUAACUCGAACCCGAGAGCGGAUAGUGGAACUCGCACGGAGAUUGCUGCUGCCAACUAAGGUAAAGCCAGACAACUUGUCCAUAAGGGCAAGGAACUACUUCAGAAUGGAAUUGGAAAGAAGAAAUCAGAAUAGAAUGGAAUGAGUUUACAGAGGAAGCCUAAACCUCAAAAGAAGGGCCAACAGCCCAAACUAGUAGUAGUCCCGACCCGACCUCCAGUGUUAACACAACGCCUACCUCGACUCAUGAACUUCCCUCUCUCCACCUGUUCUUGCCUGCCGCUAGUGUUCGUCAACUAUACCUCUAUCUGUUCUGUUCUCUUCUCUGGCUUAGCGAGUUGAAUCAGUUAUCCUAUCAUCCGUUCACCUAUAUAAAGAGAAUAUAGAAUUUAGUAGACAUUUAGGAGGGGCCAAGCCAACAAAGGAUAUGGAAAACCUCUUUGCUUAACACAAGCACCCUAGCCAUGUAUAGGAAUUCCACAAGCCUACCUUUGUAACAGAGGAAUAAGCCUACCCCACAAAGUCAGUAAACUAAGUCAGUAAACCAACCAACCCUUUGCUACCAUGAUACUUAACUGCAUCCCUUUCCACCACUGCUGAAGUAAGGAAGUAAGGAAGUAGUUGACUAUUGACUGACACCUACUAAUUGAAUAGCCCGGUAGUGCAGUCCAGCGUGAAGUCCAUUCUUGUCCCUCGCCUAGGUAAGAUGUGGCAGAAAUGAUAGUAAGGGCCCUUUGUUUGCCUCUGCCUCUCUAUCCUCUGGACUAGCUUGCUUCUCUCCCCUCUGUCAACUCAUUCCAUUCCAUUCCUCUGUAGUGACCUGACCUGGAUUGAUUUGAUAUACCCGAUACCUCCUAAGGCAACUCUUUGAUAUACCCGAUACCUCCUAAGGCAACUCUUUAUGUAUAUGUUUACCACCCGUCCCUCGUAUUGGAAUGACUAGAGCAUCAACACAGGAAACGACUCACUACAAGCUGUAUGAUAUCUUCUCUUUAUAACUGAUGAAACAGCCCCUCUGGCAUUAAAGUAAACAAAUCAUUAAUUUCUUCUUUCGAGUGCAUAAUAAGAAAAGAGAAUUGAAGGAAUUGAUCAACGCGCAGAAUAUUGAUACUCGGCCCAUGUACUUCUUAUGUCAAAUAAGGGGUUUCCUCGGUGCCUGUUCCACUCUUUCUUCUCAGAAUGCAAAGAUCCCCCCGGCUUAUGGUCUUUCUUCCUCACCUGUAGACUCCACUAUAACAGCAGAGUUGCGGUAAAGUAGUGACUUGUGUAGUUUACAGUCUUGUUUCGGGUGUUGGCGAUUAGUAUACUAUUUCCGUUUCCAGUGUACUAGAGUGUUGAGUAAGUCAGUAGUAAGUCCUAAGUGUUGAGUAAGUCAGUAGUAAGCCCUAAGUAAACUAGUUAUUAGUAAGCCCUAAGCCCUAAGUUAGUAGCUAGUAAGCCCUUUAGUGGAAUUCUUUGUUUCAAGGGGAGUUGCCUCAGUAUUAGCAAGGGAGUUAAGGGAGAAGGAGCAAACAGAAUAUAGAGAAUCUGCUGUGCGCCUAAGGAACACGCGGACAAGCAUACGGCUAUGAGGGUAUCAACCUCAAGAAUCAAACCUUUUAGUACUAGUCGCCUUAAAGGAGCCACCAAGCUUAUACUAGUUAUGGGAUAGAUCUAUCGCAUAUAUAAUAUCUUACUUCUUUGGGGGCGAGUCAACGUUUUCCUAUAUCAAGAGAAAGCCUCUGUCCUUUGUUCACCGGUUAGUCUCAUAUUCAGAAUGAACCUCUUCAAAAAGAAGAGAAUAAAGUACUUGUUUUGAGGCGAGGUCAGCAAGUCAGAUAGAGUUAGUUCCGGUCUGUAAGGGAAGCAGUUAGGUCAGACUCAUAAGCUGUUUCAUCUGUUCUCAUAUAUGAAAAGAAAGAAUGAAAGUUGUUCUUUGGAUUCAAGCUUGCCCUGUAAAGGAGUGACAGAGUUAUGUAACAGAAUUAUACUGGUGAGUAAGGGAAUGCACUACAUCAUACCAGCUGGAUCUAUCCCUAUAACUAUUCUAUAUCCUUAUGCACCUGGGCAAUUAUAGGAAGUAACACGUAUUGAGAGAAAGAGCAACCAAGCAUACAAGCCAAAAUGGGCAAAUAGAGGUUUACAGCCCCAACACCAAGUAGUGGUCCUGUAUUAAUGGUAUUGUAGAUACGGGUAACAAACCUAAAGAAAGAGCAAACAAGCAACUUGCCCACCUUUCUUAAAGAAUUUCAAUAUCAACUCGCUACUACUGUAUUAGUUAUCAACUACUGUAUUAGUUAUCAACUACUGUAUUAGUUAUCAAAGGUGCUGCGAACUCGUAUAUAAGGAGAGAAGCCCAGACAGUAAAGUAAGUCAGAUUCAAAAGAAGGGGAAGCAGUGCUUGUUAAACAAUCCUAUAUGAAAGUGAUAUAGAUUUGAUUAUACUUGGUGUGUAGAGCUUGUGUAUAGCUUCAAUGAAAGUUUUUUAUCCGUUAUUUUCUGAACUUGUAAAUUACAUCUUAAGAGAAGGUAGAAAACUAUCAAGUCAGAAGAAAACCGGGAAGGUAUAAAAACCCUAGUAUUGGAAUCAAACUAGAGGCUCUAUUUGUUUGAUAGGCAAUAAGCACCCUACCACAUAAGGGCUCAGGCUUCUGUGAAAUUGACCAAGUAUGUAAAAUAGCCCCCACUACCCUAGUCAAUUUAAGUAAACAAAACGACCCCUUAACUACUAAGUCAACAACCCUACCACUAAUAGAUUUACCAGACUCCACUCGAGAUGAAACAGCCAAGCGUAUACUAACGACCAAAAGCCGGGUUCAAACCGUAAAGCUGUUCCUAGGCAAUAGAAUUCUCAUUUGAUAGUUGCGGUCGGUCAAUCAGGAUCUUCGGUUACAGAAUUAGCAGGAGCUAGAGAAGGGGCGAGCGGGCCUAGGCCAGUGAAAGUUCUAAAGUCCGUAGCAGGGAAGGGAGUUGUUGAUUCGGCUAAAGCUCAAGUUGUUUCAUGAAGGGAAGCAGUGUAUUUACAACCUGCAAGGGAAUAAUCCGCUAGUUUAGAGCCAGCCCCUAUGUUGUGGGAAAGAAAUCCUGUUUUGUUUGAGAAAUGAAGAUAUGGGAGCCGAGGUAAAGUUGACAGUGUAGUUGAAAGGCUUGUUAGUGCAGAGGGUAUACUACUGAGGUCAAUUCUGAACUUCACUGAUGAGCCAGAGGUAUCGAAUAACGGAGAUCCUGCUGUUACUAAAAUGCAGCUUAUCCUUAGUGCUAUAACAAGACUCAAGCUAGUGCUGACAAACUCCAUUCUAAUUGAACUAUAACUAAAAUAUACCACAAUAUACCAAUGGAACUGUUACUAAUUUCAUAGCCAGAGGACAGGUAUUAGAGGUGCUCGCACCCCAAGAGUAGAGUAGGAGCACCUUGGGCUAGGGAACCCUACGGAUUAUAGGAAGAAAUUCAUUCGUUGGCAAGUUGAUUAGUUGAAAUGAUAGUAAUUUCCCAUUAAGUAGAAGAUAAGUAGAAGGGAGGUAGCUAGCGUGUCUCCUUUCUUUAUAAACUAGAAUAUCUCUUUCGAUACCCUGCCCUCGUAUUUUAUAACUGAUUUAACAAGCCCUGCAGCUGGCAACAAUUCUAUACUUCCCGAACUCUGAUACUCGACUUAAAGAAUAGAAUGGAAGUGAAGAAUUCCAUUGUUAACCUCUCAUAUAGAUAUUGAUAAUAUUACUCACAUAUAGAUACUAAAGCUCGAAAGCACUGAUUGUCCAAGCCCACGAAGCUCUCUCUCAUUACGGGUGUCUCUGUAGCUCAAUGUAGUAUAGUUUCAUAUGAGUGUAAUCUCAGUUCUUUACCGAACAAGCAAUAAGGAUCUUACUAGAGAAAAAGAAUAUAAGAGAAUGUUAGUGCAUACCGGACUGCAUUUCUUACUUGAAACUUUAUACCUGGACUUAGCUUUAGCUUCAACUCGGGAUGGUGCGUUGAGUUGAGUUCGGAUAGCCCAGGAAUCAUUCUUUAACAAGCAGACUCCUUUGGUGCUCUAGCUCUAAGUCUAGGAAAGUUGCUAAAGUCAUCCUUAGUUUCAAACUUAUUAUUUAGGGCUUUGGUGUCGUAGCGUAGUAGCGACCAGUUCCAGUAAGAAUAGAGUUCCAGUAUUGCCAUGCCAGGUCCAGGAACAAGAUCUGAAGCCGGGGAAGUGAGUCUUGAUCCAACAAGCCGACAAGGAACUACUGGAGCAAUAAACCCUGCUAGAGCAAGAAACUGCUUCUCUUGUAAACUUUAUUUGAGCUCUUUGCCAGAGAAGAAGUAUGGGAGAUAAGCUUCAUUCAGGUAUCAAAGAAAAAGAAAGAGUUACCGAUUGCAUCAACCCUUAUCGACACCCCUAGUUGCAUCUGAACCCUUAUCGACACCCCGAGUUGCAUCUGUAUAAAUAAGAAAAAGAAGAUUCCUUUCGUCACCCACCAAGUCAGUCAACCUACAACAAACAAGCAAGUAAGUAAACUACCCCAGCCGAGUAACUUCAUGAAACAAGUAAGUAAACUAAGUAAGUAAACCUACCCGACCCCUUAACUAGGCAAUAGGAACGAACCCCGACCCUACUUAUUUAGUUUGAGCACCUGAUCCGACCCGCCAAGACACUACUAAUGUGUCGCGGCAGAGCCGCUGUCAAUUCGGGCAUUCAAUAAAGAACCUAACAAGCAAGUCAAUAGAAUUCCACAACUAACCUAACAAGCAAUAAAGUAAGGAGCACUACCAUCAAGAGCCGAGUUUCAUUCUGACUUUUCUGUAACCCUACCUCAGCUGUUCCAUUCCGAGUCUAAUUAUGCUACACAAGGGGUGGAAUUCUUCCAUUCCUUAUUAGCGCACUAGUUCAUUCUGUACUUCCUUACUUCUAGCUUAGCUUCAAAGCCGACUUAAUAGAAGGGCAACCACUACGGAUGAAACUAGACCACUACCUAGCCUAGAUCUACUCUUUGGACCACUACUUGUUUGGGCAAUCACUUCACUUGAUACUUUACCUCACCCUGGAACAGGCAAUUCUCUACUAUACCCGACCCUAAAAGAUGGAUCGUAGUGAUGCGGUAAAUAAGAGACCCAUGCUCCUAUGGCUCUGACUCCUAUACGAAUCCACCUCUGUCAACUGGCAACUCAACUUACCUUGAUGACCUGACCCGAUUGCUGCAGACUACUUUCUCACUGGACUUCGCCUUCCUCGGAUCUAGCCUCUGAUCUUACCCGUGCAAGAAAUGCAUUUAGUGCCUAUAUCUUUAUGGUUCGACUAUAUGUCAUUAUAUAUAAAGAGAGUCCAAGUUUUCCUAGGCUUUCCUUUACUUAGUCAGUACUGAGUCAAUGGAACUCAAAUCUCUCUUUGUUUCUGCUUUGUUUCUCUAUUCUUACGGUGUUAAGUCGACUCGAGACUCCUUCCCUGAAAUGAACCCAUAUUUCGGGUGAUUGGUGCGAUUUCGCUCGGUGAGACGUCGGACAAUUGGUGCAUUUUGUCGUGUGAUUGGUGCAUUUUCUCUCGGGUGAUCGGUGCAUUUUCUUGAAGUCAAGAUAGAAUUCAAGUGGUUAAGAAAGAGUACUGUGUUCCAGGAAAGCCAGCUAUACUUCGGUGAAAGUCAACUAAGGCUUUCAGCACCUUGCGAUUCAGCUACCUUUUUGUGGUUACUUGGCCGCUGACGCUACACACUAUACGUUAAUUGUCUAGUCGUUGCUUGGCUGUACUACUGGGCAAAGGAAUUGCUCAUAACUCCUAAGCUGCCUGCCGCGCUACUUACUUACUUAGUUGCUUGCCGGGCUUUCACACCGCAACACAAGACUUGGUCCAGAGGUUCACCUUGAGACUAGAAUUGAAGAAUCUCCUUUCGAAUGAAUGUCUUCGGCUUACGGAGCUGCUAAAGAUUCUCGAAUUGCGGAUGAUACUGAAGCUACUCCGACUCCUGAUACGGACACUUAUUCUUUCUUAUAUUGCUCUUUCUGUAUCUUUAGGCUGGCUAAUCCAUCUGUUAUUUAUGAUAUAUCGAAGACUUUCCCUCUUAUGUUUAAGAUUCCACAUUUGAGUCCUGUAUUUUGUCCUGUUUUUGGUAUUCAUGGCUAAAGGAGCUAAGUUGACUAGGAAUCAUUCUUUCGCACGUGGGCUAAUAUAUAGCGGAUUUCCUUUCUAGCUUCUUAUCGUUCUCCAGGAAUUGAAACUAGAAACUCCCUUAGCGCGGAUUCAUCCUCUGAUGAAGUUACUGCAACAAACACGAGAACCUCUCCUGUCUCUACAACUUAGGGCAUCAAAGCCCCUGACAAGACUCUCAGGCAGGGAACCUCCCACUUGCUUGCUUCCUUACCCCGCUUCAAUUGGACGACUUGUACCACUCGGGAAAGCCAAUAACUCCUAUUGCUACUAAUAGAGCCAGUAGAAAGUGGUAGUCCUGUUCGAGUAAGUAUAAGACUCAGAUUAUUCCAGUUUAGGUCCGGGAAGAAUAAAGUCAAAAGUCCCCUGGCGUAGAAGAAGUUUACAGUCCAAGUGUACGAUAACCAGAUGGCAGGAUAGACAAAAUCAGCAGUGUGAGCUCCUAAUCUAAUGCUAAGCUUCGGGGCAAGAAGAGAAGAGAACAGGCCAAGAAACUACUAAUAGGUACUCGAAAUAGUAGAUAAUAUAAUCCGGAUCUUAUCCUUCUCAAGCUUCUAAGCCAACAACUAUCAAUAUGGGUUUACAGCCCAGCCCUAUCGUUAUCGUUCAAGAGAAUCAGAUGGAGCAGGCUACGAUAUAGAAUCAGAGGCCAAAGCAGAAGAUGGGGAAUCCGCAAGUGAAAAGGCAAGGGAGAAAGCUAGUUCAAUAACCACUUAAAGUAGAGGUCGAGGAAGCAAGGGGAGAAGCAUCAAGGGAAGCGUAGUUACUUGGCUGAUAUCAAAGUUGUUGGUUGUCCACUUGAACUUAUAUAAAAGCUCCUUGCCUACUUGGUCCCGGGGUUGAUGAAACUUCACUGGUUAUCUUUCCACUCCCCUUAUAUACAAGUGAACUGUGUACUGUGCCACUUAUAUAUCUGCACCUGUUCUUUUCACUUCAACUACCAUGAUAGAUCUAGUGGGCCAUAAUACAUAGGCUAGCACAUUCCCUUACUGAGUGGAUGUUAACUACAGGUCUGCUCUAACUGCUUACUUACCUCGACUUGAAGUUCUGAACCACUGUUUGCUGAUUACUUUUGCACCUCUGAUUCUGAAAACAAUGAAAGUAAAGCCUUAGAAACAAGCACAAUUACCUCUCUAAACCGACCCGAACCCAACCUUUUAUUUCGCACUCUCACUUGACUUUCUUUUCCACUUGCAGCUGACGAAACAAGCAAAUCAUAUCCUUAUCUUUCACUGUGAACUACUUUCCCUUUAGCCGAGUUAACAAAUACUUCUCUUUUGAGAUCCGAGUCCACUAAUACUGACGUUGCUUAUUUGCUUCUUGUUCUUGUUCCGUAGCUUGUUUAAACUUCUUUUUGGAUUUAUGAUAUGUAAGAUAUUCACCCCCCAGAUUACUGCUGGCUCAAGGCACCUCGAAAGGAAGCUAACAUUAUUACCUCAAAAGUAAGCUAAGGCACCAAAGGCUUUGUUGAGUUAAGUGAGUGUAGAGUCAGAAGGGCAGUUGUGUUACUAUGUUCUAUAUGUAGUAUAAAGCUCUCUUCUUACUCCAUUUCUAUUCAUUUCCAUUCUAUUCCUUAGAAUAAGCCGUUGUGCACUGUCGGGGUACGCCUAUAAUAUGAGUUUUGGAAGCUUCCAGUCAGCAGUAAGCAAUAAGACGUUAGCAGACGCGCAUUAGGGGUUUUCUAUUGGAAUUGGGUAGCGCGCAGUAUAGUAUGUUACACAGGUCCUACUGAAGUAGCUUGUUCGCAAGCCAUUACGCGUUUACUUAUUGUGUUUGGGUGCGUUAGCGAGCGCAGCACAAGGUGAAUAAAAGUAAUGCCAAUUUCAAGAGUACGACCCGCCCAGUUUAGGAGAUCUGGGUUUUUGGAUUCUCUCUCCCUCCUCGAAUUCCUAUAGCUACCUAAGAGAUCCGAUACCUCUGCUGUACUUCUUUGACU
rnacentral:lncRNA from 1 species